AAGUGAGCGCGACCCCGCACACGAAAACGGGGAAACACCCAUGCGCCGACAAAGGUACUCACUCCCGCGCACUGGGUAGGCGGAAUGCUGAGCGGCAUCGCCGGCAUCUGUCUGUGCGCGGUAGGCGGCACAGGUGGCGCUUCUGCCUGUUGUGCGGCAUGCUCCCGGAUGCCCUGACGUGUGUUCCUUCCCCGAUUACCCGCGCAGCUCGAGCGCUGGCGGGUGCGGCGCGCGGCACAUCUGCCGGCCUCCUCUCCUGAUCCUUUUUGCCUGUGUGCAUGCCAGCCACUACUGGCCCAUGCGCUCCCGCUGUGCACGCCUGGCAGUCUCACCUGCCUGUCUCCUCCCCCUGCCCCCCCCACUCUCUGUCUCUCCGGCCCUUCCCUCUCUCUCCUCGCCGCAUUCCACUCGUGCCCGCGCUGCCCAUCCGUCUUUGUCCUCUCGCCACACGCGCGCACAACCAAACGAACGCCGACAACGCGCGCGUGCACAUGCAACGGCGACACGUGCACGUCUGCAUAUCUGCAUAUGCUGUCAAG
rnacentral:misc_RNA from 1 species